UACGUAGGGGGGCGAGCGUUGUCCGGAUUUAUUGGGCGUAAAGAGCUCGUAGGUGGUUGGGUAAGUCGGGUGUGAAAAACUCAGGGCUCAACUCUGAGACGCCACUCGAUACUGCUCUGACUCGAGUCCGGUAGGGGAGCGUGGAAUUCCCGGUGUAGCGGUGAAAUGCGCAGAUAUCGGGAGGAACACCAGUGGCGAAGGCGGCGCUCUGGGCCAUUACUGACGCUGAGGCGCGAAAGCGUGGGGAGCAAACAGG
rnacentral:rRNA from 1 species